rnacentral:lncRNA from 10 species
UAGAAGUGGUAGUGUUCAAACUCAAAAUUAGAACAAUCAUAAUAGUCAAGACUACACUCACCCAGAGUACACAUCCUGUACCACAUGCUGGGCUAAAAGAUUGGCUUAUAUUACCUUAAUGGUUCUUCUUAACAUUUGUAGGUGCUCUUAUUAUUUCAAUGUGCAGAUUUAAAGAAAAUACAGGCUGUGAAUAGUUGACUAGAACUAAAGAAAACAAGGAUGUAAACCCAGAUUUUUUCUACUUUUAGUUGUUUUUAAACAUAGGAAAACUCAUAGGAAACCUUAGUGGAGAUGGGUUAAGAACAAUCAAGCUACUACAUAACAAAUUUUUUAAGAGGCAAAUUAUGCAUUUGCUGAAUCAAAACAGACUAGUACAGACCAGAUUUGAACUAUGAAGUUUUAGAUCAGUUUUUCUAAUUUUUUUAUUAUCCUUCCUGCACCAUGGAGACUUUUUAGACAACUUUUUUCCUAAAACUAGUUUAGAAAAUUUCAUGAAAUUUUUAUGUCACAUACACUGUAUUUCUAUUUAUGUAAUAUUAUUUAUAUAUAUGUGUGUAUAUGUACAUCUCUAUACCCACACAUCUGUAUCUUUAUACAUUUAAUAAUAAAGUACUUUUUUCAUCCCUUUUAACAAUUUUUUAUCCCUGUUGAUAUUGCAAUUUCUAGGGUAAUCUAGGUGGCAACGGAAAAUAGUCUUAUGACCAGCUUCAGUGGCCUGUAACCCAAUACUUUAGAAGACCCAUUGGGAGGAUUCCUUGAAGCCAGGAGUUCGAGAACAGCCUGAGCAAUAUAGAAAGAUGCCAACUCUGCAAAAAUAAUUCGAAAUUAGCUGGACAUGGUUGUACUGGAAGCAUGGCAGUAUCUGCUUCUGAGGAGGCCUCAGGGAGCGUUUACUCAUGGUGGAAGGCAAAGUGGGAAAAGACGUCUUACAUGGCAAGAGCAGGACCAAGAGAGAGAGUGGGGAGGUGCCAUAUCCUUAAACAACCAGAUCUCCUGAGAGAGAACUCACUAUCGCAAUGACAGCUCCAACCAUGAGAAACUGCCCCCAUGAUCCAGUCACCUCCCACCAGGCCCCACCUUCAACAUUAGAGAUUGUAAUUCCACAUGAGAUUUUGACGAAGACUACCAUAUCAGUUAUCCAGAGAUAAUUUAGAGUAUACGGGAGAAUGUGCAUAGAUUAUAUGCAAAUAUUUUGUCAUUUUUCAUAAGGAACUUCUGUAUCUGUGGAUUUUGGCAUCCACGGGGGUCCUGGACCCAAUCCAGCAAUGAUACUGAGGGACAACUGUAUAUCUAUAUCACCUCCUCUUCUUCCCCUAUUUCGUCUCCUUUGUGUUAUCACCACCACCGCUAUAGAGGACGAUUAUGAUUAGGGACCUAGGGAUAAAAGAUGCCAUAAGACUUGGUUUAUUCCUCCCCUUAAGAACUAUUCAGCCCUGGGGAGAGACAGAACUUAGAUAAAAAAAGAUCUAUUACAAAACAAGGUGACUAAGCUAGGUCAAAUGCGUAUUACAAUCAAUAUGUCAAAAGGCAAAUGCCUGACUGAAUGCUGUAACUGUUGGGAUAAUUUUAUGCUCUUUUUUGACUCUCUGCCAUUCCUUGGCCUAGAAUAUAUUUUCUUUUUAUACUGUCAGUUUGAUCUUCCUCCAAGAAGACUUUCCUUCUUUCCAUCUCUCUUCCCAUCUAUGCUAGGUACUACUCGUAUGUCCUCUUAUAGCACAAUGGAAAGACCUCCAUUAAAAUACUUACUAUUCCCUAAUGUUUAUUUAUUUGUCUUCCUGAA